rnacentral:lncRNA from 1 species
CUCUUUCCAGCCGCCCUGUGGGGAAGGUGUCUUGCUUCCCCUUCACCUUCCACCAUCAGUGUAAGUUUCCUGAGGAUUCCCCAGCCGUGCUGAACUAGAUGUGGUCUCACUGUGUUGCCUAGGCUAGUCUCAAACUCCUGGCCUCAAACUAUCAUCCCACCUUAGCCUCCCAAAGUGCCGGGAUCACAAAUUUGUCCCAUAGCAUAAGAUUCACACUCAAUACUAUCAUCCUUUGGGUCUCUAAGACACCAACCUAAAAGCAGAAGAAGGCUUCAAAGGUGGAAGAAGAUGUGAGCCUGGGUGAUUGAAAAAUAGAUGUGCCAUUACCCUGAAAUAGGACUUCUUCAAGGCAAAGGCUGAUACAGUGGUGGCUACAGUCUAUGUUGUGAUUUGAUGGAACUUUUCACUUUUCACCAUUCAAACCAGUAUCCAGAGGUACAGUUGCUGCAUAACUUCCUCAUUAUCCAUAGGACCAAACUAAAUGUCUCUGGUUUGAAAUUUUGACUAGAAAUUAUAUACAUCUGCCAGCAAUUAUUGUGGGUGUAACUGAAGUGCACACUGCUCACUGCCCCUCAAUAACAUCAUUUUCAAAUAAUAACAUUGGAAAGAGGUACUUUCCUAAAACUUUCAAGUGAUCUACAAUCUCCCAGACUACUUUUACAAUGGAUUUUUUUUUUUUUUACUAGAUGUGUUAUUUCAAUUUUGGCCGCUAACCAAAAGGCAGGACAUUGCUGGUGAAUUUAAGCUGUUCAAUUAUACACAAAAAAGAAUCUGAGC